rnacentral:rRNA from 1 species
GACGAACGCUGGCGGCGUGCCUAAUACAUGCAAGUCGAGCGCAGGAAAUCAUCCGAACCUUUCGGGGGGACGUUGAUGGAAUGAGCGGCGGACGGGUGAGUAACACGUAAAGAACCUGCCCUCAGGUCUGGGAUAACCACGAGAAAUCGGGGCUAAUACCGGAUGGGUCAUCGGACCGCAUGGUCCGAGGAUGAAAGGCGCUUCGGCGUCGCCUGGGGAUGGCUUUGCGGUGCAUUAGCUAGUUGGUGGGGUAAUGGCCCACCAAGGCGACGAUGCGUAGCCGACCUGAGAGGGUGAUCGGCCACACUGGGACUGAGACACGGCCCAGACUCCUACGGGAGGCAGCAGUAGGGAAUCUUCCACGAUGGACGAAAGUCUGAUGGAGCAACGCCGCGUGAACGAUGAAGGCCUUCGGGUCGUAAAGUUCUGUUGUAAGGGAAGAACAAGUGCCGCAGGCAAUGGCGGCACCUUGACGGUACCUUGCGAGAAAGCCACGGCUAACUACGUGCCAGCCGCCGCGGUAA